rnacentral:snRNA from 1 species
CUCAAGGGUAGGGCCUAGA